rnacentral:misc_RNA from 1 species
AGCAACCCAUAUCUGUAACCCGACCCGUUUAACCGUAUCAUUCUUGGUCUUGCUGCCUCAACUCUUUUCGAAGUUUCUGGGAAAAUGACCGACAAGCAUCUAUACUGAGAUCCAUGGCAGCUGCCAACGCCACAAACGCCGCAGCAUCCUCCGCACAACUCACAUGCUGCACCCCAACUUCCACCUCCGGUUUAGUGCAUUUCCCCUCUCCUCCUACCGUCCCCGACAUCACAAAGCCCCGAUACAGUAGCUGCGCCCACGAUCCGGAUCCGGGUUGGGAUCCGAAAUCUGAUCCGGAUCCGGAUCCUGAACUAAGGUCGAAGCUGCUGUUGGGGCUAGUCAACGGAGUAGCUCCGUUGAUUAUGUCUAUACCGAUUUUACCACCUUUUUUGGUGCUGAUGGUUGAAUUGACUAAUGUGAUGGCGUCGGUGGCUCCGUCCGGGAUGAUCUCGAAGCGGUACCCGAGUUCGCCGUUGCGUUCUCGCCAUGCUUCUAGACGACCCCAUGGCUUCCAUGUGUUGUCACCGGGUCGGAGGAUGAGCCAAGAUCCCGGGUUGGAUUUGCUGACCCGAUCCGAACCUUGUGAUGGAACAAAUGGGGUCACCAUUGACGCUGCUGCAACAGGUGAACCGGAAAGAUCAUGUACUGUAAUUGACCAUCCUUUUCGUUCUUUUACAGAUAUCUCUCUAUCAGAUGUGCAAGAACCAAAACAGCUUGUUGACGUGCUUGGUUCAGAUAACGACGAUCUGGAUCUCAAAUUCCGGUCACCGGAGUUUCUGAAACUGAACUUGCAAGU